UACGGAGGGUGCGAGCGUUAAUCGGAAUUACUGGGCGUAAAGGGCGCGUAGGUGGAAAAAUAAGUCAGGUGUGAAAUCCCCGAGCUUAACUUGGGAAUUGCGCUUGAUACUGUUUAUCUAGAGUGUUGUAGAGGAAAGUGGAAUUCCAGGUGUAGCGGUGAAAUGCGUAGAUAUCUGGAGGAACACCGGUGGCGAAGGCGGCAUUCUGGACCGAAACUGACGCUGAGGCGCGAAAGCCAGGGGAGCAAACGGG
rnacentral:rRNA from 1 species